rnacentral:rRNA from 1 species
GACGAACGCUGGCGGCGUGCUUAACACAUGCAAGUCGAACGGAAAGGCCCUGCUUUUGUGGGGUGCUCGAGUGGCGAACGGGUGAGUAACACGUGAGUAACCUGCCCUUGACUUUGGGAUAACUUCAGGAAACUGGGGCUAAUACCGGAUAGGAGCUCCUGCUGCAUGGUGGGGGUUGGAAAGUUUCGGCGGUUGGGGAUGGACUCGCGGCUUAUCAGCUUGUUGGUGGGGUAGCGGCUUACCAAGGCUUUGACGGGUAGCCGGCCUGAGAGGGUGACCGGCCACAUUGGGACUGGGAUACGGCCCAGACUCCUACGGGAGGCAGCAGUGGAGAAUAUUGCACAAUGGGCGGAAGCCUGAUGCAGCCACGCCGCGUGGGGGAUGACGGCCUUCGGGUUGUAAACCGCUUCCGCCUGUGACGAAGCGUGAGUGACGGUAAUGGGUAAAGAAGCACCGGCUAACUACGUG